rnacentral:pre_miRNA from 1 species
ACGGUCGUGGGCUUGUGUCGCUUGUUUGCAAUUUCAUCAUAGCGACGUCGGACCGCGACGGCGA